rnacentral:rRNA from 1 species
UACGUAGGGGGCAAGCGUUGUCCGGAUUUAUUGGGCGUAAAGAGCGUGUAGGCGGCCAUGCAGGUCCGUUGUGAAAACUGGAGGCUUAACCUCCAGACGUCGAUGGAAACCGUAUGGCUAGAGUCCGGAAGAGGAGAGUGGAAUUCCUGGUGUAGCGGUGAAAUGCGCAGAUAUCAGGAAGAACACCCGUGGCGAAAGCGGCUCUCUGGAACGGUACUGACGCUGAGACGCGAAAGCGUGGGGAGCGAACAGG